AUUGAACGCUGGCGGCAUGCUUUACACAUGCAAGUCGAACGGUAACAGGCCUUCGGGUGCUGACGAGUGGCGCACGGGUGAGUAAUGCAUCGGAACGUGCCCAGAGGUGGGGGAUAACGCAGCGAAAGCUGUGCUAAUACCGCAUGUGAUCUGAGGAUGAAAGCGGGGGACCCAGCAGCAAUGUUUGGCCUCGCGCCUCUGGAGCGGCCGAUGUCAGAUUAGGUAGUUGGUGGGGUAAAGGCCUACCAAGCCGACGAUCUGUAGCUGGUCUGAGAGGACGACCAGCCACACUGGGACUGAGACACGGCCCAGACUCCUACGGGAGGCAGCAGUGGGGAAUUUUGGACAAUGGGCGCAAGCCUGAUCCAGCAAUGCCGCGUGCGGGAAGAAGGCCUUCGGGUUGUAAACCGCUUUUGUACGGAACGAAAAGGCUCUGGCUAAUACCUGGGGCUGAUGACGGUACCGUAAGAAUAAGCACCGGCUAACUACGUG
rnacentral:rRNA from 1 species